rnacentral:rRNA from 1 species
CUGAACCAGCCAAGUAGCGUGAAGGAUGAAGGUUCUAUGGAUUGUAAACUUCUUUUAUAAGGGAAUAAAGUGCUUUACGUGUAGAGUUUUGUAUGUACCUUAUGAAUAAGCAUCGGCUAACUCCGUGCCAGCAGCCGCGGUAAUACGGAGGAUGCGAGCGUUAUCCGGAUUUAUUGGGUUUAAAGGGAGCGUAGACGGGAUGUUAAGUCAGCUGUGAAAGUUUGGGGCUCAACCUUAAAAUUGCAGUUGAAACUGGCGUUCUUGAGUGCGGCAGAGGCAGGCGGAAUUCGUGGUGUAGCGGUGAAAUGCUUAGAUAUCACGAAGAACCCCUAUUGCGAAGGCAGCCUGCUGGACCGUAACUGACGUUGAUGCUCGAAAGUGUGGGUAUCAAACAGGAUUAGAUACCCUGGUAGUCCACACGGUAAACGAUGGAUACUCGCUGUUGGCGAUA